CAUGCUAGGCAUCGAACUGUUGAAAGUCGAUCUCAUCAAUCAAAGGCCAUGCACAUUCUUGUGUUAUGGAUGAAUGUCGGGUUCCUGUGUUGCAUACCCACGAAAGUGGAAAUCGGUUAUGUUAUGGGUUGGUAUUCGCCUAUGCCUGUCAAGGGUUAGUGGUGAACAUGGAAGCACCUCUUGUGUUCCAAACAUGUUAAUGCAACUGUUUUGGCACAUUCGUAGGUUCUCGUGGUCUCGGAUGCGGAAAUUAUUUUGUAGCUGGGAGAUCGGAUCUCUCAAUUGCUCAAAACAUUCAUUAUGGUACGAACGACAUGUAGCGCUUGCUUCCAGCCCUCCUCAUGCUACGACGUUGGUAUGUUGAGGAAUGGAGUAAGCGUUGCGUUCGUGAAGGAAUGC
rnacentral:misc_RNA from 1 species